CAGUUCCGAACCCGUCGG
rnacentral:snRNA from 1 species